UACGUAGGUGGCAAGCGUUAUCCGGAUUUAUUGGGUGUAAAGGGCGUGUAGGCGGGAAAGCAAGUCAGAUGUGAAAACUAUGGGCUCAACCCAUAGCCUGCAUUUGAAACUGUUUUUCUUGAGUACUGGAGAGGCAGACGGAAUUCCUAGUGUAGCGGUGAAAUGCGUAGAUAUUAGGAGGAACACCAGUGGCGAAGGCGGCCUGCUGGACUGCAACUGACGUUGAGGCUCGAAAGCGUGGGGAGCAAACAGG
rnacentral:rRNA from 1 species